rnacentral:misc_RNA from 1 species
AAUUCUCAACUUCAUCAGUUUUGUUAUGAAACUAUGUGAAGCUUGGAUGUGGGGGUUUGUGCAGAAUGCUUCAUUGUAGAACUGCUCCCCUUAAAUGAAUUAGCGAGUUCAAACUGAGUUCCAUCUAUUGGUGUGAUAACUAUCUACGCCAUGGAUUGAGCUUAGACUUGCUUCUAACCGUCUGCAAAGACAAUCUUUUGAAA